GAAGGUGGAGGGAGCUCAUCCUGACCUCGUGCUAGAGAUUCUGUCUUGCCUCCAUCACGUUGAGUCAGCUGGCUGUUCUGUAACCUUCACUUGGAUUCCUGGCCACUCUGGCAUUUUAGGUAAUGAGAUCGCAGAUUCAUUGGCCAAAG